rnacentral:rRNA from 2 species
CAUGCAGUCGAGCGAACAAAUAAGGAGCUUGCUCCUUUGACGUUAGCGGCGGACGGGUGAGUAACACGUGGAUAACCUACCUAUAAAACUGGGAUAACUUCGGGAAACCGGAGCUAAUACCGGAUAAAAUUUUGAACCGCAGGGUUCAAUAGUGAAAGACGGCCUUGCUGUCACUUAUAGAUGGAUCCGCGCCGUAUUACCUAGUUGGUAAGGUAACGGCUUACCAAGGCAACGAUACGUAGCCAACCUGAGAGGGUGAUCGGCCACACUGGAACUGAAACACGGUCCAAACUCCUACGGGAGGCAGCAGUAGGGAAUCUUCCGCAAUGGGCGAAAGCCUGACGGACCAACGCCCCGGGAGUGAUGAAGGUCUUCGGAUCGUAAAACUCUGUUAUCAGGGAAAAACAAACGUGUAAUUAACUGUGCACGUCUUGACGGUACCUGAUCAAAAAGCCACGGCUAACUACUUGCCAGCAGCCGCGGUAAUACGUAGGUGGCAAGCGUUAUCCGGAAUUAUUGGGCGUAAAGCGCGCGUAGGCGGUUUUUUAAGUCUGAUGUGAAAGCCCACGGCUCAACCGUGGAGGGUCAUUGGAAACUGGAAAACUUGAGUGCAAAAAAGGAAAGUGGAUUUCCAUGUGUAGCGGUGAAAUGCGCAGAGAUAUGGGAGGAACACCAGUGGCGAAGGCGACUUUCUGGUCUGUAACUGACGCUGAUGUGCGAAAGCGUGGGGAUCAAACAGGAUUAGAUACCCU